GAGUUUGAUCUUGGCUCAGAACGAACGCUGGCGGCAUGCCUAACACAUGCAAGUCGAACGGGAUCCGGACUUCGGUUCGGUGAGAGUGGCGGACGGGUGAGUAACGCGUGGGAACCUGCCCAGUGGUGGGGGAUAACUGCGGGAAACUGCAGCUAAUACCGCAUGAGCCCGAGAGGGGAAAGAUUUAUCGCCAUUGGAGGGGCCCGCGUUCGAUUAGGUAGUUGGUGAGGUAAUGGCUCACCAAGCCGACGAUCGAUAGCUGGUCUGAGAGGAUGAUCGGCCACACUGGGACUGAGAUACGGCCCAGACUCCUACGGGAGGCAGCAGUGGGGAAUAUUGGACAAUGGGGGCAACCCUGAUCCAGCAAUGCCGCGUGAGUGAUGAAGGCCUUC
rnacentral:rRNA from 1 species